CACACUCACGUGUUUUGAAGAAUGUAAAAUCCAGUGUGUGAUAAACAUGUGUAAAGAAACCUUUCGUAAGAAGCCAGAAGAGCUUUACAACAAUCUUGGACUGGGAGAUGGAGGCCAUCAUAAACUUCUUGUAGGAUGAGUUGCCGCAGACAGAGAUGAAAACCAUGAUGAAUGUCCGUGAGCCAGAGAUGGGUCUGAAAUUUGACAAAUGGUCAGCCUUAUUGAUGGUAUCUCUCCAUGAAAGUACAGCACAUGACAGGCGAGAAACUUGAAGCGAAUUGGGUUAAACUGACCGGCUGCAACCAAAUACAGUGCCUAGAGAUGAUUUUGAAUCACUUCAUGCAUUAUCCUGUGGAUAGUCAUGAAACAAUAAAAGACCUACGUACAGAGAUGGGUACAUUUUCAGGCAUAUGGAAUAAUUUGUGCUCAGAGGAACGCAGUGGCACAACGUUUGAGCAUCAACAUUGUGAUCGGGAGG